rnacentral:lncRNA from 1 species
AGAGGGUCGUUUGACAAAAGAUGCAAUUUCAUCAAGCGGAACGAAGAAGUAUGGAAACAGUUUCCAGAAAAAUAAAGAAUGGGAUAUUAAUGUUAUUUCUCAAGGGGGAGGCAAAGAAGACCCAAAAAUGGAAGUAAUCAUCAGAACCAGUCUCAACAACAAUAUUAUCAACAACCUCAUGUUGUCGCAGUAACUCAGAUGGUUAGUCCAACUCCUGUUGUUCAGACUUAUCAAUACAGUUUCAACAGAAUCAACAGUCUAAUCAAAAU